CCUACGGGCGGCAGCAGUAGGGAAUCUUUCACAAUGGGCAAAAGCCUGAUGGAGCAACGCCGCGUGCAGGAUGAAGGCCUUCGGGUUGUAAACUGCUUUUAUAAGCGAGAAAUAUGAUGGUAACUUAUGAAUAAGGAUCGGCUAACUACGUGCCAGCAGCCGCGGUCAUACGUAGGAUCCGAGCAUUAUCCGGAGUGACUGGGUGUAAAGAGUUGCGUAGGUGGCAUAAUAAGUAGCUAGUGAAAUCUGGUGGCUCAACCAUUCAGACUAUUAGCUAAACUGUUAAGCUCGAGACCGUUAGGGGUAACUGGAAUUUCUAGUGUAGGAGUGAAAUCCGUAGAUAUUAGAAGGAACACCAAUAGCGUAGGCAGGUUGCUGGGACGGUUCUGACACUAAGGCACGAAAGCGUAGGGAGCAAACGGGAUUAGAUACCCGUGUAGUC
rnacentral:rRNA from 1 species